AGCUUUUUUUUUUUACUUGUUUUCACAGAUUAAAAAAAGUAACUUGAUCGUGACAAAACUUUUUUUUUCACCUGUUUAACAUGUUCUUAAGUCAUAAACACAGAAGAGAAAACAAUUUAGAUCAGACUUAGAAAAUGGAUCACCAGAUUUUUUUUUUCUCACUUGCAUUGUGUUGAAUGCUAUAUAAAAAAAGCUGUUCCUUCUGCUCUUGCCCCUUCACCUCUAUGGAGCUAUUUCCCUAUAUUUAUUCAAGAGUGUGGUAUAUCAAUUUGAGAGCAUUUUGUAAUUUGUCUCUCAAAACCCUGCCCUCGCACUCAGAUAGCCUCUGCUUGUGCUUAGAUUUGCUCUGUUUCUGCUCAAAUUGUGUGCUUGCACUCAAAUAUAAUGUUGCUUGCACAGAUUUCUUGCGCUCCAGCUUCAGCUCUUCUCCUCGCACUCAGGCUGCUUCUGCGCACUCGUGAAACUUCUGCUCUCGGAUUUCUCCUCUGCUCUUGGAUUUUUUGUGCAUCAGCUAGUUUUGUUCAAUUUCUUCAAGAAGAUCCCUGAUUAACUUUCACACUGCUUCGUAGAUAUAGAUUUAAUUGGCUUGCAAGCUGCUUUGCGUAUUUUCCUCACUAACAUCGGCAUUAGCAGCAGUCCGGAUGGAGGAGCUGCUAACCAGCCAAUUUUUCACAUAAAAAACUGUUCAAGCGACUAUCUCACCUUCUCGCACGGGCAUAACCAUAGAAACGUUUAUGAUGAAGGUGACAUCGUUUUCUCCUCCAGCACACCAACAGGCGGGCACUGUGCCAUGCGGCUACUAUACUAUUGUAUGCAGCUACUGUAGUAAAAAUCAUGGGUGUUGGUGUAUAAAUGAACCGUCCUUUUAUUCCAAAAGUCAUAAAUAAUGCAAGGGAAGUACACUUUGUAAAGCCCUGGAGGGCGGGAGUGGAUGAACCCAGUUAAAGAGUACCCGCUCAUACGGGGCGCCCUAAGAAGAAAAGCGAACAAGCUCGCAAGGAGGCAGGGAUCAUUUCAUUGGUCAACACUAAACCUGCCCUUCUAUUGGUUGGGGGAUUUUGACAGGGUUGUUGCACAAAAAAUCCAAGAGCAGAGGAGAAAUCUGAGAAUUUCACGAACACCUCCUCAUCUUUGGACCAAAUUAAGUUUACAAGCUGCUUUAUGUCAUAAAAAAGAAAAGCAGCCGCUCCAGCAGAAUGAAAACCUAAGCAAAUAUGAUGAGAAUGUGAUUCUGGUGUGUGUGCUUUCAGUCGUCAAAUAUAUUUCUUCUUGAUAGAGAUGUCUUUGAUUAAAUAUUUCCCACUGUUAGGCAGCUCAUCUGUCACUGUAUAUGAACAACAUUAUUAUUUUUUCUUUUUUUGUGGGAAAAACAUAACUGGGGAGGCCUGGAAAGUCCCUGGAAUUCCCUGCUCACAUUCUGAGUUUAAGUGGAAGUCAUGAAACAAUACAAGAAGAGCAACGAAAGUUAAAGAAGACACAUGCACAGUUACAGCAUUUCCUCCCAAAGCCUGAAGCUGUUUAUACAGGCCCCUUCUAAGCAAACAUUCAUCUACAAUCUGCCUGCACUCAGGGACCAACACAAUAUGGGAGAGAGUAAUACUGAGACCAACAUGGCCCAGUGGAUUGAUAACCUUACUGUGCCUGAGGAGGUAGGUCGACUGGGCCUCUCAGCACCAGUUGAUGGUAGAAAGUAUGAGAGCAGAGAUUUGGAGAGAGCUAGUCACUAUCCCAUUGGUCACCCUGAGUCUGACAAAGUCGUCAUUUAAGUGUCGGUCAACAUGGGGAAAGUGAUCGCCAUCAAUUAUCAGGGCCACCCACGUCAGAAGAACUGGCACAACCCCAGAUACGGCGAGGUGUACGUCACUUCCUGUGUAUCUCCAAGUUGUGGAAUGGUGCCGAGUGGUUUGGAGGAGGAUUGUGUCUGGGAUCCCAAGUGAAUCGAAAUUAUUGGUACCAUCCACCUCCCACUGCCCUUUACCACCCAAUGAGCCCUACGAGCUGUUACCAAACCAAUUUUUUUUUUUUUUUGUUCAAAUAUAUGUAUAUGUAUUUGUAAAACAAGGAAAUUACAUUUGCAUUUUGUCACUCUGUCAUUGUAACCUGGAAAAUAAAUUUGUCAUCUUAAAUCUUAAA